rnacentral:rRNA from 1 species
GAUGAACGCUGGCGGCGUGCCUAAUACAUGCAAGUCGAGCGUACAGAUGAGGAGCUUGCUCCUCUGACGUUAGCGGCGGACGGGGGAGUAACACGUGGAUAACCUACCUAUAAGACUGGGAUAACUUCGGGAAACCGGAGCUAAUACAGGAUAAUAGAUUUAACCGCAUGGUUCAAUAGUGAAAGACGGUUUUGCUGUCACUUAUAGAUGGAUCCGCGCCGCAUUAGCUAGUUGGUAAGGUAACGGCUUACCAAGGCAACGAUGCGUAGCCGACCUGAGAGGGUGACCGCCAACACUGGACCUGAGACACGGUCCAGACUCCUACGGGAGGAAGAAGUAGGGAAUCUUCCGCAAUGGGCGAAAGCUUGACGGAGCAACGCCGCGUGAGUGAUGAAGGUCUUCGGAUCGUAAAACUCUGUUAUUAGGGCAGAACAAAUGUGUAAGUAACUAUGCAAGUAUUGACGGUACCUAAUCAGAAAGCCACGGCUAACUACGUG